rfam:Salmo salar isolate Sally breed double haploid chromosome ssa10, whole genome shotgun sequence.
CCCUGUGGCUCAGUUGGUAAAGCAUGGUGUGUGCAACGCCAGGGUUGUGGGUUCGAUUCCCACAGGGG